UAAGGAAUCUUCCACAAUGGACGAAAGUCUGAUGGAGCAACUCCGCGUGCAGGAUGAAGGCCUUCGGGUUGUAAACUGCUUUUAUUUGUGAAGAAUAUGACGGUAACAAAUGAAUAAGGGUCGGCUAACUACGUGCCAGCAGCCGCGGUCAUACGUAGGACCCAAGCGUUAUCCGGAGUGACUGGGCGUAAAGAGUUGCGUAGGUGGUCUGUAAAGUGAAUAGUGAAAUCUGGUGGCUCAACCACACAGGCUAUUAUUCAAACUCACAGACUCGAGAAUGGUAGAGGUAACUGGAAUUUCUUGUGUAGGAGUGAAAUCCGUAGAUAUAAGAAGGAACACCAAUGGCGUAGGCAGGUUACUGGACCAUUUCUGACACUGAGGCACGAAAGCGUGGGGAGCGAACC
rnacentral:rRNA from 1 species